CUUAACACAUGCAAGUCGAACGAAGCAGUUUAUUACGAUCCCUUCGGGGUGACGAUUUACUGACUGAGUGGCGGACGGGUGAGUAACGCGUGGGUAACCUGCCUUGUACAGGGGGACAACAGUUGGAAACGACUGCUAAUACCGCAUAAGCGCACGGUAUCGCAUGAUACAGUGUGAAAAGUUAUUUCGGUACAAGAUGGACCCGCGUCUGAUUAGCUAGAUGGUGAGGUAACGGCUCACCAUGGCGAUGAUGCAUAGCCGGUCUGAGAGGACGAACGGCCACAUUGGGACUGAGAACGGCCCAAACUCCUACGGGAGGCAGCAGUAGGGAAUUUUCGGCAAUGGGCGGAAGCCUGACCGAGCAACGCCGCGUGAUUGAAGAAGUAUUUCGGUAUGUAAAAAUCUUUUAUUUGGGACGAAAAAAUCAAAAUUGACGGUACCAAAUGAAUAAGCCCCGGCUAACUACGUGCCAGCAGCCGCGGUAAUACGUAGGGGGCAAGCGUUAUCCGGAAUUAUUGGGCGUAAAGGGUGCGUAGGCGGCAAUGAAAGUCUUUGGUUAAAAUUCUAGGCUCAACCUAGUCAUGCCAAAGAAACUUCAUAGCUAGAGUAUGGUAGAGGUGAGUGGAAUUCCAUGUGUAGCGGUAAAAUGCGUAAAUAUAUGGAGGAACACCAGUGGCGAAGGCGGCUCACUAGACCGAUACUGACGCUGAGGCACGAAAGCGUGGGGAGCAAACAGGAUUAGAUACCCUGGUAGUCCACGCCCUAAACGAUGAGUACUAAGUGUUGGAGGAAUUCAGCGCUGAAGUUAACGCAUUAAGUACUCCGCCUGAGUAGUACGUACGCAAGUAUGAAACUUAAAGGAAUUGACGGGAGCCCGCACAAGCGGUGGAGCAUGUUGUUUAAUUCGACGAUACGCGAAGAACCUUACCAGGUCUUGACAUCUAGGUGUUAGCUAUAGAGAUAUAGUGAGAUUGCCUAAGACAGGUGGUGCAUGGUUGUCGUCAGCUCGUGUCGUGAGAUGUUGGGUUAAGUCCCGCAACGAGCGCAACCCUUAUUGCUAGUUACCAUCAUUCAGUGGGACUCUAGCGAGACUGCCAGUGACAAACUGGAGGAAGUGGGGAUGACGUCAAUCAUUCAUGCCCUUAUGACUGGCUACAAACGUGCUACAAUGGCUACUUAAAAGAGAAGCGAACAAGGAUGUUAGCACCUCAUAAAGUGUUUCAGUUCGGAAUGAGACUGCACUCGCACUCCUGAGUUGAACUCGCGUAGGAUAUGCGCGACUACACAAUGCGCGCGCGACGUAAUAGCCAUUUUCG
rnacentral:rRNA from 1 species